rnacentral:rRNA from 1 species
CACGUAGGGGGCGAGCGUUGUCCGGAUUUAUUGGGCGUAAAGAGCUCGUAGGCGGUUCGACAAGUCGGAUGUGAAAUCUCCACGCUCAACGUGGAGGGGCCAUUCGAAACUGUCGUGACUUGAGUCCGGUAGGGGAGUGUGGAAUUCCCGGUGUAGCGGUGAAAUGCGCAGAGAUCGGGAGGAACACCCGGGGCGAAGGCGGCCCUCUGGCUCGACCCUGACGCUGAGGCGCGAAAGCGUGGGGAGCGAACGGG